rnacentral:tRNA from 1 species
GGAGAGGUAGCGAAGUGGCUAAACGCGGCAGACUGUAAAUCUGUUCCAUUUGGUUCGAUGGUUCGAAUCCAUCUCUCUCCA